UCUGCAUGCUACAGAUGUUCCACAAAUGAACCGAGCUGUGUUGAGUUCUCAUGACACCGGGGCACCUCAGGUGCUGAGCGCAGACCCAAAUCUGUCUUCCCACCAUCACACCACCCCAACUCUCUUUAAAUGAAUGAAACAGGAAGGACUGAGCGUUCUGCCCUUCACCGCCCCGCUCGGCCCCUGCGCCAAAGUACAGCCGUUGUAAAAAGAGACCACCGGACCCAUGAAGAGGUGCUGGUGUGUCAAGCAUCUGUUUUAUCCAUUACAGCGAGACUGCAGCCCUGCAGAGAACAGAAGACAUGCAGAAGCAUCCAUAAAUCUUUGGCCUCUGGUGGAAACAUAUUUUCCACACACUCCUCCCACGUUCCUCUGCUAACAUUCUGCUGUCUAUUUCACAUUCCUCCAUGCUAAAAUCUGAAGGGGGUGCACAUAUACAGUAUACAGUAAGGGGAUUUGCAUCAAUAAAGCCACCCGGAAGUCAUUCAUUUAGCAUGGAAGUUCAUAUGAUUCCCAGCAACGUGAGCGAUGCAAAGUAAAAAAAAUUAUUGUAGCAUACGUGAUAUCUUUCCUUUGAGAUACAAUACUGUAGUACUCAUGUGCCAGUCUUUCUUUAGUUGUAACAUUUACUUUAAUAUUUAGGGUUCUGUUACAUUUUUCUUUACUUUCUUUACUUUCCAUAAUGUGUAAAUUUAAUAAACAACAUUUUAGCAUGUGAUACCA